rnacentral:lncRNA from 1 species
CUUCUUCCCGGGGGCGAAGGGCUGUGAAAGUUCAACAAUUUUUAUGAAUUUCUAAUCCAACCUCAUCAUCCUAUGGGAAACAGAAGACCACCAAGAACAGCCAGCUGAGACAGAAUUUCACUGUGUUGCCCAAGCCAAUCUUAAACUCCUGGUCUCAAGCGAUCCUCCUGCCUUGGCCUCCCACUGUGCCUGGCCUAUGGACUCUGAAUUUUUUUAAAAGACUGGAAAAAACUUUUAUAAGAGAAUUGGAAAUUUGGACAGUAUCUUGGCAGUAACCUCCUCCAUAUAUUUCCUUGGCCCUCAGCUUACAUCUAGCAAAAUGACUCUACUGGUUCCAGGCUUCACAUGCAUACAACAUGGUGUUGGAGGAACAGAGAUGUUUUCUCUUCCUGGUGUUUUCCCAGACAUUUCUUAGCUGGCAUUUCAAACAAGGGUCCUGAAAUUCACCCUGGUUGGGUCGUGUUCUCCCCUUCCCAUUCCCCAUCCCCACCCUCAACCGAAAAAUGAUGUAAGCAGGGGAAAUUGAAUGUACCAAUGUUUGUUUUUAAACAAGCCACAGACCCCUCCCCAACUCCCCGACUGAAGCUUGAAGUGGGAUCAGCUUUCCCUAAAGUACUUGAGCUUAUGGUAAAGCAUAUAUGUUAUCCAAGUUAAAGUCUGGACGCUGUUAGUAAUGGGAAGGCAAGUAAUGAAUGUUAGCUAUGGAGCCAACAGACAGUGUCCACUCCAUUGUCUUUAAGGCCCAACUAAAGAUAACCUCUUUACCAAUGUCGGUUUAUUUAUUCAUUUAUUUAUUCAUUGAGAUGGAGUCUCACUCUCUCACCCAAGCUGGAGUGCAGUGGAAUGAUCUCAGCUGACUGCAAUUUCUGCCUCCCAGGUUCAAGCAAUCUCCUGCUUCAGCCUCCCAAGUAGCUGGGAUUACAGGCGCACACCACCAUGCCCGGCUAAUUUUUGUAUUUUUAGUAGAGAUAGGGUUUCACCAUGUUGGCCAAGCUGGUCUCGGACACCUGACCUCAAGUGAUCUGCCUGCCUCGGCCCCCAAAGGUGUGAGCCACUGCACCUGGCUACAAUGUCAGUUUCUAUAAAAACUGCCUUGACUUGUUUUGUUUGCUUGUUUUGUUUGUUUGUGUUUUAAUUUUUAUUAUUUUUUUUUAGAGACAGGGUCUCAAUCUGUUGUCUAGGCUUGAGUGCAGUGGUGCAAUCAUAGCUCACUGAAGUGUUGGACUCCCAGGCUCAAGCAGUCCUCCCACCUCAGCCUCCCAAGUAGCUGAGACUACAGGCAUGCACCACCCUGUCUGGCUAAUUUUUUAUUUUUAGUAGAGAUGAGGUCUCACUAUGUUGCCCAAGGUGGCCUCAAACUCCUGGCCUCAAGUACUCCUGUGGCCUUAGCCUCCCAAAGCUCUGGGAUUGCAGGUAUGAGCCGCCAUGCCUGGCCUACUGUAUAUUUUAUGCAUUUGAUAUAAGUCUUGCCUCCCUAAGUAUAUUACAAGUCCCUUGAAGUUAAAGACAUUAGAUUCCUACUCAGUGCUGAGCUGCAACAGAGAGCACUCAAUGAUGGAUAAAAUAGUUUUAGCAUGCAUUCAGCGAUAUAUAUUUAGAAAGUGGAACUAGGUGGUUGAAAAAAGUGUAUAGAUGGGUGGAAGGGAAUAUUACAGCUCUUAGAAUUGUCCUAAGGUGAGAGUAACAAAUUAAGCAAUGAGUCCCUGGGUUCACUCAAGCAACUUCACUCUCUAAAACAAGAGCCCACAGAAUCCCAUUUCUGCUUUCAGAAUGAGUUUGAGGCCAAUAUUAUUUCCAUUUUUUUUCUUUUUCUUUCUUUCUUUUUUUUUUUUUUUUUUUUGAGACGGAGUUUCACUCUUGUUGCCCAGGCUGUUUUGAUCUCGGCUCACUGCAACCUCUGCCCCUGGGUUCAAGCGAUUCUCCUGUCUCAACCUCCCAAGCUGGGAUUACAAGCAUGCGCUACCACACCUGGCUAAUUUUGUAUUUUUAAUAGAGACGGGGUUUCUCUGUGUUGGUCAGGCUGGUCUCAAACUCCCAACCUCAGGUGAUCUGCCCACCUUGGCCCAGCCUCCAAUAUGAUUUUCUAAUAGCUGUGUUUGAUGAUUAUAUUUAUUCCUCCAUCAGUAGCUUUUUUAGCCUUGAAAAUAUCUAUUUAAGUUUCUUAUUUCCUUUGGAUCUAUCAAAGUGUUUUUCCCCAAGUGGCACCUGGGAAAACAUAUUCUAUUCAUUUAUUUUAUAACUGUUCCCUUGACCUCUUUAUUGCUUCCCUAUUACAACCCAAGAUGCUCUUGUAAACCUGACUUAAUAUUGGCAGUCUUCAUCCCUUGCAAAUGGAAGUGAUGACAGACCCAAUACUUUGUGUAAAAAUAUUUUGCUAUUUCUAUACAAAAUAUUUUAUUAAUGGAAACCACAUGUUAUGUAUUUUACAUAUGUUAUGACUUGAAAUUUAUGUUAUGACUUGAAAUUGGGGAAUCUGAUAUGUCUCUAAUAAUAAAG